CCGGGCGAGCCAAUUCCAGUGAAUGACCACACAGUAAAACGUGACAAGGGCCCCAUUCACAGGCCCCGACUGCGCGGAGCUGGCCCGGCGGCUGGAGGUGGCUCUUGAUGAAUCAACUUAUGUUAGAAGGUUUGCAACACGGAGGUUUUCACCUUUCCCAAAACUCAUCGCUUAGAACUCUUAAGACUUGCACAUAUUGCUGUAUAGAAAUUUUACCUCAAAGAAUAGAGAAGAACCAUAAACAAAUAUUGAACUCUGGAAUGCUAGAAUAUUUAGGACUGGAGUGAAGUGCACUGAUGUUUCAAGUACAUAAGAAAAAAGGGCUUCUUCGGUAGCCAGUUUCAACAAUUAUCCUGAAAAAUUGUAGUUAAAUUUAAAUAAUCUUUCAAUGAAAAAAAUGGAUUCUGAAUCCAUGAAUUUU